UUAUUCUCUGUGAUGACGCAUAGUUCAUAUGAUCUAUACCAUGACAACUUAACUUGGCAUAUGUCUUUCGUCCCUAUCUGAUAAAUAUA